UACAGAGGGGGCCAGCGUUAUUCGGAAUCACUGGGCGUAAAGCGCACGUAGGCGGAUUGCUAAGUCAGGGGUGAAAUCCUGGAGCUCAACUCCAGAACUGCCUUUGAUACUGGCGAUCUUGAGUCCGGGAGAGGUGAGUGGAACUGCGAGUGUAGAGGUGAAAUUCGUAGAUAUUCGCAAGAACACCAGUGGCGAAGGCGGCUCACUGGCCCGGUACUGACGCUGAGGUGCGAAAGCGUGGGGAGCAAACAGG
rnacentral:rRNA from 1 species